CUUCCGUUGACAGUUGCCCGCGGGAAUAUGGGAACAUGGCGGCUUCUCCUCCGGCAAUCACGGAAGUGACCUCUGGUGGGAAAGUCCAGGACUGGUCAGCCUCUGAGCCUGUAACAUGGAGAGAGUGGAAUCAGAACGAACUGUCCGGAACAACCAGACAAUAACAGUCAGCAGCAAGAUGAACUGGGCAGUCAAAAAUAAACUCCAGGAAUGAAGAGAUUGUGGGAGUGCUGCUCAAGUGCCUUAUGUCUGGUGUAAAAACAUGGAUC